UACAGAGGUCUCAAGCGUUGUUCGGAUUCAUUGGGCGUAAAGGGUGCGUAGGUGGCGCCGUAAGUCAGGUGUGAAAUCUCGGGGCUUAACUCCGAAACUGCAUUUGAUACUGCGGUGCUUGAGGACUGGAGAGGAGACUGGAAUUUACGGUGUAGCAGUGAAAUGCGCAGAUAUCGGGAGGAACACCAGUGGCGAAGGCGACUACCGGGCCUGUUUCUUGACGCUGAGGCGCGAAAGCUAGGGGAGCAAACGGG
rnacentral:rRNA from 1 species